GCUGUGAACAGAACGGAAACAGAGAAGGAAAAGAAGAGAGAGAAGAGAAGAGAGGAGGAGAAGAGUACAGCAGCUGCGGUUUUGGGGCUGUCCACACCUAGGAUGGUGGAACCAGUGCUGAGGUAGGAUUGGAUUUCAGCGGCGGUUGUGAGGCUUGUGUCUGCGAGACACUAGGAUGUUGAUGGAGUUCACUUCUGUUAUUUUAGUCAUUCCUUUUUAUAUAAAUAUUUAUGAAAUGUGUAGUAAUUAUAUUGUAACUUGUGGUUGCUUUCAGACAUAGAAUUUGUAUAAUGUAAUUUAUCACUUUAGUACAUCACCAGUAGUAGUUGUAUCAUUUUAUUAGCGGAAUCUGAUUUUAGUUGUGGUCUUA